rnacentral:misc_RNA from 1 species
AAAGUCGUAACAAGGUAACCGUAGGUGAACCUGCGGUUGGAUCAUUAAAAAAUUGAGUUCUUGGAACUCGUACUGGGUUAAUUCACGUUAACUCGGUAAACACCCUGUGAAAUGUUAAUGCCUGGAUGAAUGUAAAAAGUUUGUCCAGGUCUAUAUACUCUUUUAUAAUGACUGAAUCAAGUAAUCUAAAUUAAAAACAACUUUUAACAACGGAUCUCUUGGCUCUC